GUGCCAGCAGCCGCGGUAAUACGUAGGUGGCAAGCGUUGUCCGGAUUUACUGGGCGUAAAGGAUGCGUAGGCGGACAUUUAAGUCAGAUGUGAAAUACCCGAGCUUAACUUGGGUGCUGCAUUUGAAACUGGGUGUCUAGAGUGCAGGAGAGGUAAGUGGAAUUCCUAGUGUAGCGGUGAAAUGCGUAGAGAUUAGGAAGAACACCAGUGGCGAAGGCGACUUACUGGACUGUAACUGACGCUGAGGCAUGAAAGCGUGGGGAGCAAACAGGAUUAGAUACCCUGGUAGUCC
rnacentral:rRNA from 1 species